rnacentral:lncRNA from 1 species
GGGAGGGGGCUACGUACCGGGAAUCAAAAGUACAUCCGGCUUAAAAACUUGUCCAAGUAUCUUUCUUAUUUAAAUGUAUGACACUAACAGAAUAGGGAGGCACGCUAGCCUGCACAUUCCCGAAGAUGAGAAGAGAAUGGGUUUGUGGCAGUUUAUAUAUUGUUCAGAUAAUAUCAAAGCGGUAAAAGCAGAAUUUGUCACAUCAAG